rnacentral:rRNA from 1 species
GAUGAACGCUGGCGGCGUGCCUAAUACAUGCAAGUCGAGCGAACAGACCAGGAGCUUGCUCCUCUGACGUUAGCGGCGGACGGGUGAGUAACACGUGUAUAACCCACUUAUAAUUCUGGUAUAUUUUCGGGAAUCCGGAUCUAACACCGGAUAAUAUAUUGAACCGCAUGGUUCAAUAGUGAAAGUCGGUGGUGCUGUCACUAAUAGCUGGAUCCGCGCUGCAUUAGCUAGUUGGUAAGUUAACGGCUUACCAAGGCAACGAUGCGUAGGCGACGUGCGAGGGUGAUCGGCCACACUGGAGCUGAGACGCGGUCCAGGCGCCUACGGGAGGCAGCAGUAGGGAAUCUUCCGCAGUAGGCGGAAGCAUGACGGAGCGACGCCGAGUGAGUGAUGAAAGUCUUCGGGUCGUAAUACUCUGUUAUUGGGGAAGAACAAAUGUGUAAGUAACUGUGCACGUCUUGACGGUACCUGAUCAGGAAGCCACGGCUAACUACGUG